rnacentral:rRNA from 1 species
UUGAACGCUGGCGGCAUGCCUUACACAUGCAAGUCGAACGGUAGAGGGGCAACCCUUGAGAGUGGCGAACGGGUGAGUAAUGCAUCGGAACGUGCCCAGUCGUGGGGGAUAACGCAGCGAAAGCUAUGCUAAUACCGCAUGUGAUCUGUGGAUGAAAGCAGGGGACCGCAAGGCCUUGUGCGAUUGGAGCGGCCGAUGUCAGAUUAGCUAGUUGGUAGGGUAAAAGCCUACCAAGGCGACGAUCUGUAGCUG